UUGCAGGGACAACCCAGCACGUGCAUUUCUCAGCACCCAGUCAACUGCCAAAAGUGACUCAAACACAGGCCACCAGUGGAACUCGGCUGUACCACUGCAGUGCUGCGGAAAUUGCCAGCACCAGCGGCUUUGCAACAGCUGUUUCGCAGCACGUCGGAGACAAUGCCUACGAAAUUAUUGGCCCUGAUCAUGAGAGCCCUCAAGGGGCAAACAACAUCUCUGUUGCAGAAGUGAGCUCGAUACCACUUGGAAGUUACCAUGACAGAUGACACGGCAGCAACAGAUACAGAGACUGCCAUGUCUACUGCAGCUGCAACAGUGUACGAGGCAAGCAGCAGCGCGUCAGCAUCAGCAGCAGUGUCAGAAGGAGCCACACCAGGCCUGGUAGAGCAACAUGUGUGCUAUCACUGACUUUUUUUUGUAGUGAUACAACUCAUUUACUCAGCAUACAAAAGCUUUUCACCACGACUGUGAGCCAGUGUUAUUGUGCAGCAAGUGCAAGACUAAGUUAGGUGUUAUAACACAGUACAAGCAUCACUUUAAUAUAUGCAAAUGCAAACAUAUUACAGUUGUUGCCUCCCCAGCCAGCCCACAGUGACAACAAUGUGGAACACAUGGUGGGACACACCUCUCCCCCAUUACAAGAUAGUAGAGACUGUCAGUGUUGUUGCUAGAUUGACUGAUCUUUGUAGGCAACUAGAAGGACAACACAGGUGUCAUAAGAUUGUUGUUGAUGUUGUUGUUGAAGAGGUAAAAAAGAAGUUUGAUGCAGCUGAAGUGCCAACUGAUAUUGAGCAAAUCAAAAGCAACCACCUGAGAAAGCAACACUAUCGAAAUUGGGGUAUCUAUGUGCCGCCAACUCUGGUAAGAUUGGCAUAGGACAGAAGUGUGAUGAAAAUCACACAGACACUGCUGUUGCAUCACUGGCCACAGUGAGCAGCGACUUGUAGGGCAAGAGAGUCAACUGAAACUAACAUUAUGAUAUAGUGUCAUGCUCCCAUGUGACCACUUUUCAAGUUAUUUUGCAAGAUACAGCUCAACCUCCAGAAACGAGACUGCAACUUGUCUGUAAAAAAGCUUUCACAAAAAAUUAUUCAUAGCACUAUUAACAUAGCAGUAUCUUUUUUUUUGUGUCGAUUCGAGGUUCCCGGCAGUCCAUUAAUGCAAAAAUUGAGGAAAAAAAGAACAUGUGUCGUACUUACACCUUUUUAACAAGUACGAGGGGUACAGAACUUUUCUAGUCAUGCAUCUUCAUCAUACUAUCAAGUUUUUAAAUGCCUUUUAUAAUUAUUAUUACCAGUUAUAUCUGAGUGCAUUGUAUGCAUGUAGCAGGUGUAAAAUCAGGUCAGUUGGAUCAGAUGCCUUAUCUGCAAGCGAGCCCUAUAUUCAAGAAAUUUGAAUUAAAAUAGUUACGUUAGAGACGCAGUCUUUCAGCACUUUAUUGCCUGUGGUUUAAGCAUUGCUCAAUACUUUUGUGGGUGGCAAUUUCAACCGGCACAGCACUGCGCUUUGCCACAGUCACAUUUGUCUUCAAAGCGGUGUUUACCAUUUGUGUUGAUCUGUUUGUGUAUGAAUAGAGGAAGUUUUUAAUUUAUAUUUUUCUGCAUUCUUGUGCUUGCACUAAGUUUGUAUAAGGCAGUUACAAAAUGUGCGUCACUAUAAGGAACUGUUCUGUUGAGCUUACACUUGCAAAUAAUCGUGUUCAGAUGGCCGCACUUCUAUGCGGGUGCACCGCUAGCUUUGUGUAUGUUCUCAUGUUUGUAUAAAGCUUAUAUAAGCUAGUUAGAAAAUGUAUGUCCCUAAGCAUUGUGAUAUUCUUUAAAGAACUGCUUAGUUGGUUUUACACUUGUGAAUUAGUAUUGAGGCGGUGGUAUUCCCAUGUAUGCCCACUGCUAGCUUUCUGUGUCCUCACGUGUUUGUAUUAAGUUUCUACAAGGGAGCUACAGCAUGUACGUCACUAAGCGCUGUGAUAUUUUUUAAAGAACUGCUUUGUUGGUUUUACACCUGUGAGUAAUAGUACUCGGGUGGCACUAGUCAUGUGUAGGUACACAGGGACCAUUUGUAUACAUUAUGCUCAUGUAAAGCAGUUACAAAGUGUACGUCACUAAUUACUGUGAUAUUUGUUGAAUUGCUGUGAUGGUUUUACACAUGUGAAUAAUAGUGGUCAGGACACAGUACUUGCGGUGUAUAGUUGAAUUUAUACACUGCCAAGACAUGGGCUGUAUGCAUACCAAAAGAAAUGUAUGUCAUUAUAUUGUUGUGAUUAUUACUGUUUGGAUUUUAUUAAACUGUAAUAAAAUUGUU
rnacentral:lncRNA from 1 species